rnacentral:sRNA from 1 species
CUCUAGCCCCGAUAGCAGCGAAAAUCCUUUGGUGGCGGGGUUCGACACCAAAGAUUGUAGCGGAUAGCGGGACGAUGA